GGAUCCAUAGCUUAGUGGUAGAGUAUUUGACUGCAGAUCAAGAGGUCACCGAUUUGAAUCCGGUUGGUCCCU
rfam:Vigna angularis cultivar Jingnong 6 scaffold831_9, whole genome shotgun sequence.